UUGCUUCCCUGGCCAUUCAGAUUUCUCCUGGGAGCCUGUGUUAGUAAAUGACUUACACGCAAUUCCCUGUUUCAGGCUCUGCUUCCAGGACACCAGCCUAGGUCAAGGAGAGAAGCCAAGGAGCCUUCUUAGACUGAAAGCAAGGAAGCUCAGAAGUGUGGAAAAUUACAACCAAUCCAAGAAACCAUGUGGAAGAUUGACCAGAGGGGCAAUGCUAAAGGCAGAAUGGUUAUUGAAAUGGCCUGGAGAAGCACUAUUGAGGAACUGAAAUGGGAAAGGAACAGUCGGAAUAGAAGAGAAGAGGUGCUCACCUCACCACUCUGAUUGCAAGAAUGAGUCUGUGACUGAGACCCGGCCCAUCAGAGUAAAGCAUCCGCUGGUAACACAAGUAAUUUAGGAAUGUCCACAUAACCCAAACCACACAAACUGGAAGCCCUCUCUAAGCAUUUUCUGCUGGAACUAAGAACAAAGAGUUUUUUUAACUCUUGCAUGUAGUAAAUUAUAAGAAUAUGACUCAACAUGAUAGCACAUUUACUGUCACAUGGAUAAACACAUGAGAAUAAAGAUGAUUUUGAGAGAAAAGUGGUGAUGAGAAGUAGACAGAAAGAUAUCUAGCAACAUCAAGUCAUUUAUUCCUGUCUCAGAUAUAACUGGAUUUCUCUAGUUAAUAUGUAUAAUGUAAGAGAGUUUUUGUUUAUUUGUUUGUUUGCUUAAGUUAGAUCAGGUUGAGAUUUUGACACUCCAAACUCAAAGAACCCUGACUAGCAAUUGGAAUUGAUACCAGAAGUGGGGACAACAAUUUUGAAAACCAAAAUGUGGGACUGGGUUUUGUCAAGAUGAGAUAGGGGAAUCCUCAUUAAUCACUCUCCACUCCCCUGAUCAUCUUCAGCUAGGAAAUAUCUUGUUGAAAAGUAGAACAGCAUUGGGUUACGGGUUUCUUGUGGUAUCUUGAAACUUCAACCAUGUGCCCAACAAAACCAGAAUAUCAGUGACUUAGUAGAAAAAUGUGAUGAUAUUGGACUGUAGGCUCUGUUCUGCAUUCUUCAGUAAAUUUCUACAACAAAAAGACAAAUUGAUUUACCUGAAAUCACAGAGAAAUCUGUAUGCACCUCUACAUAAAAAAUUCUUUCUACACAGCCUCAGCAAUGCUAAACUGGAAAGGUUAAGGCAGGAAAGUCCUCUGUAGAAUUGGAAAACUAAUUGUUUUACCCCGUCAUAAAGUUAGUAUAAGCAAAAACAGGGCAGUGAGAAAAGUGAAAGAAGAUUAGAUUCUUCCCUGCCUACCCAAGGUAAUCAUUCCCUAUGGCCUAAGCAACUUGGAUGCAGUGGUGGGCAGGAAAGGGAAUUAGCUUUAACUUAUCAUCCUAUCCUUUCUUUCACUUUACUCUGAGGUAGGAGUCAAGACAGAAGCCAUUAAUCUGAUGGUCAAAAUGUCAGGCCUAUUGAUAAGCAAUCAAAGGGGUAUGGUACUUAUUUAAAGAUAAUGACCAGACAUAUAUUCUUGCAUCAGACUUCCAGACUAGUAUUUUAAAGAAUACUUAAGGCUAGAUAAACACCAAGUAUCAAAAAAAGAGGUUUGGAUGGCACAUUCCCUAAGACUGUCCUCAGGCUCAUUCAAGGAUAUUCAGCAAAGAUUCAACCAUAGAAUGGGAUUUCUUCUCACUGUACAACACCUUUUAUGAAUGGCCCAGGAUGAUGCCAGGUAAGUGAAUUCACCCAGUAGGUAGAUUCUGUGGCAAUCAUAUCAGUUGAAAAAGGAUCUCAGUCUAUUACUAACAAGCAAGACAAUGAAUGGAUGUACAUUUCUAUCCCUAUCCAUUGGAGUAUUGUAUAUCUGGCCAGUGGCCGCUGAAUAUUACUUCCUCUUCCUCCCUUUUUCCAUGAGACAAUUAUGUUGAUUAAUAUUUUACCUCAGGAAUGCUUAUUAGAGAAAACAGAUAGUCAUAUUUAUCAUUAGCUGAAAGUAUACAGAAUCUUUUUAUGCCCCAACUAGAUCUCAGAGAGAGGAAGGCACAGUAUUUUAAAACCCUGGAUUUGAGGAAGAAAUAACAUCUGGACAUAAUUUUAGAAGCAGUAAUUACAAUGGGUAGCUGUUAUAUUGGGAAGGAGUAUUUUUUUCAAUUUUUAUAUGCUAAAAAGAUUUUGUAAGUAUUCUAGAAAAUUAAAGACUUGAUUGUAAACAGUACACAAGACUCCUUUCUUCUGGUAAUUGGAAAUAAUCUCCUUUGGCUACCACUAAUAUGGGCAAAUCCACAUUUAGGUCUCUAAAAUUAUUCUGUCUCCUGAGGAUGUUUCAGGGUCAGCCUGUAUGUGUAUUUGGAACUUUUCUGCUACAACCAUUGAGGGAUGGUCUCCUCUGUUCUCAAGAGUCUUGCAGCUUCAAACAUAAAUCCUUAAACCAUUCGGUGGCCAGUGUACCUGUUUGAGGAAGACGAAAUCAAGGGGGAAGAGAAAAGUUUUGCAAGUGGGAAAACUGAGUGGCCAGAGAAGCCAAGUAUCUUUGUGUGUGUGCCAAGAAUCUUCGAUAACACCACACAGCAAGGAACUGGCAGAGCUGAAACUUUCAACUAACCUUAGAGUCCUUCUCCCUCUCAACAUGUCUGAAACUACAGGAAGAAUCUUUCUAAAAGCAGCCCCCUAAAAUCACCAUCUCUAGGAAUGGUUAUAAAAAUAUUUUGAUGUGGAGAAAAAGGAUACAAUCUAAACAUUUGCCAUAGUGAAACAGCAGAACAUAUUUUCUACAUCGUAUAUCAGUCAACUUUCAGUAGGUUAUGCUACAAAACAAAUUAUCACAGCAAUUCUAGUAGUUGAAAUCAACAGAGAUGUUGCUCCCAUUCCCAUUCACAUGAGCAGAAUGCAGCUCUUUUCACAGCCUUUUCAUUCCAGGAUCCAGGCUGAAGGAUCACCUUCCAUCUGUGACAUGCCAGGAUAUAGCCAAAAUCAGACAGCAAGCAUAGAACCAUGGGGUGGCUCUUAAGGAUUCUGCUUGGACAUUGCCUGCAUAACUUCCACUCCCAUUCCAUCAGCAAAAAUAAGUCUUACGGAAAUAUCUGAUGUCAGUAGGGGGUGAAGUCAUCUCCUUUCAAAGGAAAGGCCUCCCAGAGGGGCCCUGUAGAUAUGGACCUAUUAGAGAGUGACAGCAAAUAUUUCAGACAACUCAAACAAUGUUUUACAUAUACAUACUAAGUAAUAGUAUGCAGGCUUUUGAAAAUGAAACAUUAAGUCUAUAGUUAAUGACCUGAAAAAAUAUUCAUGAUGAAUAUUGCUCUACGAUAAUUAUCCAUCUCCACCCACUAAUAUGUAAAUUCCAUGAGGCCAGACCUUUGGUCUGUUUUGCUCACAAAUGUAUCUUAACCACAUGCUGAAAAAAGCAUAGAUCAUCAUAAAAAGUUAUUAAAAUAUUGAAUAAAGGAAUUUUCCUCUAAGUACAGUUUUAUAGUCAUAUCGAUUUUGUGCAAUAUUUGAGCAAUCUUUUGGUCUUGAGUGUUUUCUUAUUUUUGACCCAGUAGAUCUUUAGAAAUUAUAUUAAAUGUUUAAAUGCACAAUUAUUUUUAUGUAUGGCUUAAUUACAUUGAAAUACUUAAAAUGAUGUGCUUGCUAAAGAGUUUUUAAAUUUGAGGAGUAUUUUCUUUAUAGUCUAAUGUACCACGAAUAUUCAUAAAUAUUCUUGGUAUAUUGAAGAUAAUGUGUAUUCUCUAAUUUUUGGAUGCAAGAUAUCUUUGUAUGUUAGUCAUUUUAUAAAUUGUACUGUUUAAUAAAAUUUUCUAUAGUCUCACCUUUUUUCUCAUUAAAUUAUUUAUUAAGAAAGUGAUAUUAAAAUAUCUCACUAUUAAUCAGGACUUAGACAUGUAUUUUUGUAACUAUCGAUUUGGUUUUAUAUAUUUUCAGGUUAUAUUAUCAAGUUUAUACAAGUUUAAAAUUGUUAUAAUUGCCUGCUAAGUUGAACCUUUUAUUGCUGUAAAAGAAUAUUUCUGUAUAAGUAAUACUUCGUUUGAAGUCUAUUUGUCAGAUACCUCUACAGCAACAAUAGCCUUACAUUGUCUCUUGUUUGCCCUUUAUAGCUUUUGUCCACCUCUCUCUUUUUGACUUCAUGUGUCAGCAUCUUUUAGAUCAGCUUCUGUUAAAUAAUGUAUUAUUAGAUUAGCUUGUCUAUCCUAUCUGGAA
rnacentral:lncRNA from 10 species